UCCCUGGUAGUCCAGUGGUUGAGACUCUGUGCUUUCACCACCGAUGGCCUGGGUUCAAUUCCUGGUUGGUGAA
rnacentral:tRNA from 1 species